AACGAACGCUGGCGGCAGGCUUAACACAUGCAAGUCGAACGCCCUCUUCGGAGGGAGUGGCAGACGGGUGAGUAACGCGUGGGAACCUACCUUUAGGUACGGAAUAACAGUUAGAAAUGACUGCUAAUACCGUAUGUGCCCGAGAGGGGAAAGAUUUAUCGCCUAUAGAUGGGCCCGCGUUGGAUUAGCUAGUUGGUGAGGUAACGGCUCACCAAGGCGACGAUCCAUAGCUGGUUUGAGAGGAUGAUCAGCCACACUGGGACUGAGACACGGCCCAGACUCCUACGGGAGGCAGCAGUGGGGAAUCUUAGACAAUGGGGGCAACCCUGAUCUAGCCAUGCCGCGUGAGUGACGAAGGCCCUAGGGUCGUAAAGCUCUUUCGCCAGGGAUGAUAAUGACAGUACCUGGUAAAGAACCCGGUACUCCGUGCCAGCGCCGCGGUAA
rnacentral:rRNA from 1 species